GACGGAGGGUGCAAGCGUUAUCCGGAUUCACUGGGUUUAAAGGGUGCGUAGGUGGGCAGGUAAGUCAGUGGUGAAAUCUCCGGGCUUAACUCGGAAACUGCCGUUGAUACUAUCUGUCUUGAAUAUCGUGGAGGUUAGCGGAAUAUGUCAUGUAGCGGUGAAAUGCUUAGAUAUGACAUAGAACACCCAUUGCGAAGGCAGCUAACUACACGAUCAUUGACACUGAGGCACGAAAGCGUGGGGAGCAAACAGG
rnacentral:rRNA from 1 species